CCAUCAAAGCUGACUACCUGCCUGCAAUUUAUCUGAUUUGACUUUUGGGAAUUCCUUUCCCCGCCUUUUUGUUUCUUUCCCUUUUUCUACAAUAUUCUUUCUGUAUGGUGCAGGCUGAGACGCUUGUAUACAAAAAUGAUAGUAGAAUCAAAUUAUAUUCCUUUGUGCAUUAUCUAUGUAAUUUGUUUUUGUAAUUUUCCCUCUCAACCCAUAUUGUUUCUGUUUGCAAACAUUCCCUUUUGUUUUGCUUUCUCAAAUGAGUUAAAGAUGUUUUAGUCAGUAUGUGGUCAGAACUCUUUAAUGUAUUGUGUAUUGUAAAACAAAAGGGUAU
rnacentral:misc_RNA from 1 species